UACGUAGGGGGCGAGCGUUACCCGGAUUUACUGGGCGUAAAGGGGGCGUAGGUGGCCGUGUAAGUCCGGUGUGAAAAGCCACGGCUCAACCGUGGGACUGCGCUGGAAACUACACGGCUUGAGGACGGUAGAGGGAGACGGAACUGCUGGUGUAGGGGUGAAAUCCGUAGAUAUCAGCAGGAACGCCGGUGGAGAAGUCGGUCUCCUGGGCCGUUCCUGACGCUGAGGCCCGAAAGCUAGGGGAGCAAACCGG
rnacentral:rRNA from 1 species